rnacentral:rRNA from 1 species
GACGAACGCUGGCGGCGUGCUUAACACAUGCAAGUCGAACGGAAAGGCCUCUUUCGGGGGGUACUCGAGUGGCGAACGGGUGAGUAACACGUGGGUAACCUGCCCUUGACUUUGGGAUAACUUCAGGAAACUGGGGCUAAUACCGGAUAGGAGCUCCUGCUGCAUGGUGGGGGUUGGAAAGUUUCGGCGGUUGGGGAUGGACUCGCGGCUUAUCAGCUUGUUGGUGGGGUAGUGGCUUACCAAGGCUUUGACGGGUAGCCGGCCUGAGAGGGUGACCGGCCACAUUGGGACUGAGAUACGGCCCAGACUCCUACGGGAGGCAGCAGUGGAGAAUAUUGCACAAUGGGUGGAAGCCUGAUGCAGCAACGCCGUGUGCGGGAGGACGGCCUUCGGGUUGUAAACCGCUUUCGCUCAUGACGAAGCUUUGUGUGACGGUAGUGGGUAAAGAAGCACCGGCUAACUACGUG